CCAAAUGAAAUUAACAGUACACUAAAUGCAAAGCGCAGCGGAAAAGCAAACUGCAAAAGCAAAACGGCGAGCCAAAAUCGAAACACCAGAUGCACAAGCCAAAGCGGAAACAUCAUCAACGGAAAAGCCAUAACAGUAAUAAGAUGCAGCUCAAGAACAAGCGAAAUGCAACUUAAGCAAAACGACGCAGAAAGUUCAAAAUGCA
rnacentral:lncRNA from 1 species